GGCAACUUGGCCGAGCGGUCUAAGGCGCCAGACUCAAGCGAACAGCUUGACCCUCCCAGAGGAUCUGCAUUCUGGUCUCGAAAGAGGCGUGAGUUCGAAUCUCACAGUUGUCA
rnacentral:tRNA from 1 species